rnacentral:lncRNA from 1 species
GAACAUCUCUAUAAUGCCUCAGUGCUUCCGGUCCUUCCUUUCUCGAAAGCACUGCGAAGGCUGCCGGCAGCGUGGUUGUUCCUUUCGCGAGUUGGUGUCUGGCGCACAGCGCGAACGUCUCAUGAGCAAGAAGCCGUAGAGACGAUGCUCUCAAUGUUGGACACCGAAGUGAGGCAACUCAUCGGGCACAACGCCAAAAUGUCCCUGUUGUGUCCUGGCCUGGGUCACGCGUGUCGCGCCUUGACAGCCGUGGCCCGUGACCUUGAACGACCUUGACCGGCCGGGCCGGGCCGAGCGGCCGAGGGUCAGUAUCGUCCGAGCGGCGCUGGUGUCAACACAGAUGAGUGCCGCGAGGUGAGGUGAGGCGUGUUCGCCGAGACGGUCCGGCCACAGUGAAAUAGUGAAAUAGUGGUGUAAUCGAUAAUAUGCGUGGCCAGUACGCGAGUGAGAUUGACCCUGUGCGCGACACCGAUUCAGAGACGCACAUAAGUUAACACCGUCGUGUCGGAUCGCUCGUACCGGUGAUGGGAGACAACGAGCAGCUGGAGCGUCUGAUGGCGCUCAUGGUUCAGCAGUCAGCAGGCUGCCAUGCUGGAGUAGCUCCUCCCCAGCCAGAUGUACCAGCUGCGCAAACUGUCUAGAGCGGCCAACCGGCUGUCGUCGCCUCCGCCGCUCCUAUGGCUAGACUUCGGUCUCGCAUGGACUCCCGUCGGUAGUGUUCACAUGCCAGCCCAUACAUUUUACCUGUAUUAACUUUUUAAUGUCUGUGUCUAUGUAACUAUUUUACGUGCCUGUACUUAACAGUGUUUGAAUUGUACAUCGUUCGCACAGUCUGUGGACCAUGGGGAGCGCCGCUUGACAUGCAUUUUUGCACUUACCUGCAUUCCGUGUUAAAAGUAAAGUAAAGGGACUGAGCUGUCGUGCACCGGGAGAUAUUAUGGUCUCUUGCUAAACGACUCAGUUGAAACUCAGCACGCCGGUCGGUACUGACUGGGGCGGCACGCGAAAGGGUUUGGGCAGCUUUUGAAACAAAAUGUUCGCAUCGAAUGACUGCAUCGCAUGUUCUGUUCCAGAGUGAGUUUUUUGACAUCUGACAUAAUAAAUAUACAUGCCUGUUCUU